rnacentral:rRNA from 1 species
CCUACGGGUGGCAGCAGUCGGGAAUCUUGGGCAAUGGGCGCAAGCCUGACCCAGCGACGCCGCGUGAGGGAUGAAGGCCUUCGGGUCGUAAACCUCUGUCAGGAGGGAAGAACGGCGGUGAGGUGAACAAUCUCGUCGUCUGACGGUACCUCCGAAGGAAGCGCCGGCUAACUCCGUGCCAGCAGCCGCGGUAAUACGGAGGGCGCAAGCGUUGUUCGGAAUCACUGGGCGUAAAGCGCGUGUAGGCGGCUUGGCAAGUCGGGUGUGAAAUCCCGAGGCUCAACCUCGGAACUGCACUCGAAACUGCUUGGCUCGAGUCCCGGAGAGGGUGGCGGAAUUCCCGGUGUAGGGGUGAAAUCCGUAGAUAUCGGGAGGAACACCAGUGGCGAAGGCGGCCACCUGGACGGUGACUGACGCUGAGACGCGAAAGCGUGGGGAGCAAACAGGAUUAGAUACCCUGGUAGUCC